rnacentral:rRNA from 1 species
AUUGAACGCUGGCGGCAGGCCUAACACAUGCAAGUCGAGCGAGCGGCGGACGGGUGAGUAAUGUCUGGGAAACUGCCUGAUGGAGGGGGAUAACUACUGGAAACGGUAGCUAAUACCGCAUACCAUCAGCUGUGCCCAGGUGGGAUUCGCUAGUAGGUGGGGUAACGGCUCACCUAGGCGACGAUCCCUAGCUGGUCUGAGAGUAUGACCAGCCAAACUGGAACUGAGACACGGUCCAGACUCCUACGGGAGGCAGCAGUGGGGAAUAUUGCACAAUGGGCGCAAGCCUGAUGCAGCCAUGCCGCGUGUGUGAAGAAGGCCUUCGGGUUGUAAAGCACUUUCAGCGGGGAGGCGUGACCCGCAGAAGAAGCACCGGCUAACUCCGUGCCAGCAGCCGCGGUAAUAC